AACCAGCUCUUCAAGUGGUCGGUAUAAUUAUUGGGCUUAAAGUGUCCGUAGCCGGUUUAGUAAGUUCCUGGUAAAAUCGGGUAGCUUAACUAUCUGUAUGCUAGGAAUACUGCUAUACUAGAGGGCGGGAGAGGUCUGAGGUACUACAGGGGUAGGGGUGAAAUCUUAUAAUCCUUGUAGGACCACCAGUGGCGAAGGCGUCAGACUGGAACGCGCCUGACGGUGAGGGACGAAAGCCAGGGGAGCGAACCGGAUUAGAUACCCGGGUAGUCCUGGCCGUAAACGAUGCAUACUAGGUGAUGGCAUGGCUAUGAGCCGUGUCAGUGCCGUAGGGAAACCGUUAAGUGUGCCGCCUGGGAAGUACGGUCGCAAGGCUAAAACUUAAAGGAAUUGGCGGGGAGCACCACAAGGGUGAAGCCUGCGGUUC
rnacentral:rRNA from 1 species